GUGGAAUAAAAUCACUGUUGGACUGUGACAGGGAAAGUCUGAUAGUUGAAUUUUCUCCAACUCAACACACUGACCUGUACCUUCUCAUAGAUGACAAGCUUCUGGUUUCCCUCAAACAGCUGCUGCAGGAGUGCAGUCACGUGGAGCUCCAGCCUACAUCACUGAUCAGAAUAUACUUCACAGGCUGUUACCUGCAGGACUGGGUUGGGCAAAACACACACUACUCUGUGAAACUGGGCUUCUCUUACAAAACCCUGAAAGGGGACAAUGUUUCAUCUGAAUCCUGCCCACAUCAGCCAGCCACAUCUGGACCUCAUCUUCAGUUUCCUCAGCUAACAUGUGGAUUAAAAG